rnacentral:lncRNA from 1 species
CAAAAACCAGCACAGGCCCCAGUUGUCUUUCAAAAGCUCUGAUUUACUGCGUAUUUCUCCCUUGAGAGAGGCCUUUUUAAAACGUUCAUUUCCAUUUUAAGAGACCGAGGGCUUUGAUCUGUUGGGAGCAUUCUUUUUCUUUCCCUGAGUGGGACCUGUCGACUCCUCCAGGCAGAACUGGAGCCUUGCUCUCAGAGUCUGUAUUUUUCCACGGACUUCCCGGACAUCCAGACAGCAUCUCUCGCAUCGGCAUUCACCCUGGCCAAUCUGGAAGUCAGCAUUGGAGUAGGUUCACGGCGGGUCUUGGACAGGACAAGCAUUACUAUUCACCAGCAGUCCCAGGAACUCUCCCUGAGGCCUCCACUCCAGUCACUUCAUAACCUGGCAAGAACAGUGUCACUUUCCGGGGUUUGCAGCACUGAUGACACUCUUGUUUCCUCAUGAAAAAGCCUGGGUCACCUGAGGACACUUCUUGCAUGGAUCCAGCUGGCCUGCACCUUUCUGUCACCAGUUCCCUGUGUUCCCUCCAGGGGCGCUGACCAUCGUUUUCACUGUAAUGAGUACACUGUAACUGAACCAGUUACGAGGAUUUUAAAAAAAGUCUUUGCAAUCUGCUAAGUAAUGCCUUGAUCCUUUGUCCUCUUUCAAAAAGGAAGACAGCAACUGAUACUCCACCAGGUUUUAGCUGGGCUUACUGAAAAGCCGUAUUUUUAUUUAUUUUUUUAACUUUUUAUUUUGUAUUGGGAUAUAGUCGAUUAACAAUGUUGUGAUAGUUUCAGGAGAACGGUGAAGGGACUUGGCCAUUCAUAUGCGUGUGUCUGCACUCUCUCAAACUUCCCUCUCAUCCAGGCUGCCACAUAACAUUGAGCAGAGUUCCACGUGCCAUAACUUUUUAAAAAUACAAGUGUAAUAUGAACCAGCCACACAUCUCAAUAUUUCAUCUGCUUGUAGAGAACAUGUCUCCAAAAAAAGGCUUCGGGGAAGAGCAC